rnacentral:tRNA from 1 species
UGGGGGAUAGUUUAGCGGUAGAACUCCCGACUCUGGAUCGGGCAACUCUGGUUCGAAUCCAGGUCUCCCAGCCA